GGUUUGGUAGCGGGGUGGUUCCGUGUCUGCCUUGUAUAAAAAGGCGCCGCGCUUGCAAUACAUGCAGAUGGAUGCCUGUUCGAGUCGGGUCCAAGCCA